rnacentral:rRNA from 1 species
GGGCCCGCACAAGCGGUGGAGUAUGUGGUUUAAUUCGAUGCAACGCGAAGAACCUUACCAGGGUUUGACAUCCUGCGAAUCUCUUGGAAACGAGAGAGUGCCUUCGGGAGCGCAGUGACAGGUGGUGCAUGGCUGUCGUCAGCUCGUGUCGUGAGAUGUUGGGUUAAGUCCCGCAACGAGCGCAACCCACGUCUUUAGUUGCCAGCAUUUAGUUGGGCACUCUGAAAGAACUGCCAGUGAUAAGCUGGAGGAAGGUGGGGAUGACGUCAAGUCCUCAUGGCCCUUACGUGUUGGGCUACACACGUGCUACAAUGGUAUCUACAACAGGAAGCAAGACGGCGACGUCAAGCAAAUCCUUAAAAGAUACCUCAGUUCGGAUUGCACUCUGCAACUCGAGUGCAUGAAGCUGGAAUUACUAGUAAUCG